rnacentral:misc_RNA from 1 species
UCCGGUUUGUCACCGGCAGUCUCCUUAGAGUGCCCGACUUAACGCUGGCAACUAAGGACAAGGGUUGCGCUCGUUGCGGGACUUAACCCAACAUCUCACGACACGAGCUGACGACAGCCAUGCAGCAUCUGUGGUGCACCCUCGAAGGUCACACGUUUCCGUGCGCUUGCAGCACCAUGUCAAGCCCAGGUAAGGUUCUUCGCGUUGCAUCGAAUUAAAGAACAUGCUCCGCUGCUUGUGCGGGCCCCCGUCAAUUCUUUUGAGUUUUAACCUUGCGGCCGUACUCCCCAGGCGGAUAACUUAAUGCGUUAGCUACGGCACGGAUUCCGUGGAAGGAACCCACACCUAGCGCCCACCGUUUACGGCGUGGACUAC